rnacentral:lncRNA from 1 species
AUCAAAAGCAUCCACUGACACUGCUGGACAGCUGCCUAAGGCUUCUUCAGUUCCCUUUUUGAAAGAUUGUGCUUGUAAGAUUCACUAAUAAAGAUUUCCCAUGAAGUGAUAUCACUCUGCAAGCUUCCAGCUGUAAAAAGGGUACAUCAUCUGCUUUCAGUUCUCGAUGUCGGGUCUCUGCUCUGCCUACACAGAACAUGCUGAACUGUGCAGGAAUGGGAUGGCAUGAGAUGGAGCUGAGAGGAAGUUCCCUUCUUUGCAAAAAGUCGGCACAAGCUCCGUGCCCCACUCUUACGUCUGUGAAUACAUUGGUCUGCRUGUGCAAUGACAGAGUGCCAGAGCAGGUGGAUCAGGAAGCAGAUGGAAGUUGA